rnacentral:lncRNA from 1 species
CCCACAUUACCAUCGUCAUUUUCAUUCACUGUUUGCCAUUCAUCAACACCCCUAAUAGAUAUCGCUCUUACUAACUCCCUCUUCUUUCCAUCUUUUCUCAUCCCCAAUAUUCCUCAAUCCCUAUUCUCUCGUCCUCUCGAGAUUAAGAUUUUGAAGUUGUCUCCACCUCCACCACCGAUUGGCCGUCAAUGUUCCCUCAUGAUUGUUA